rnacentral:SRP_RNA from 1 species
UUGCUACGGGCAAGUCUUAUACGACCAGCUCCUGUUGAAUCCUCCAGGGGGGAAACCCAGCAAAGGUAGAUGGUUGAGCGGUGCGAUAUAAGUAACUUGCCUUUUU